rnacentral:rRNA from 1 species
CCUACGGGUGGCAGCAGUAGGGAAUAUUGGACAAUGGGCGAAAGCCUGAUCCAGCAACGCCGCGUGUGCGAUGAAGGCCUUCGGGUCGUAAAGCACUUUUCUGUGGGAAGAGAAAGGACGGUACCACAGGAAUAAGUCUCGGCUAACUACGUGCCAGCAGCCGCGGUAACACGUAGGAGGCGAGCGUUAUCCGGAUUUACUGGGCGUAAAGCGCGUGUAGGCGGUUUGGUUAGUUGGAUGUGAAAGCUCCUGGCUCAACUGGGAGAGGUCGUUCAAUACUGCCAGACUAGAGGACGGCAGAGGAAGGUAGAAUUCCCGGUGUAGUGGUGAAAUGCGUAGAUAUCGGGAGGAAUACCAGUGGCGAAGGCGGCCUUCUGGGCCGUUCCUGACGCUCAGACGCGAAAGCGUGGGUAGCGAACGGGAUUAGAUACCCUAGUAGU